GCAAAAAGGGAUUAGAUACCCCUGUAGUCCUAGCCGUAAACGAUGGAGACUAGGCGUAGCCUGACUCGACCCAGGCUGUGCCGAAGCUAACGCGUUAAGUUUCCCGCCUGGGGAGUACGCACGCAAGUGUGAAACUCAAAGGAAUUGACGGGGGCCCGCACAAGCGGUGGAGUAUGUGGUUUAAUUCGAUGCAACGCGAAGAACCUUACCAGGGCUUGACAUGUCGCGAAUCUGUGGGAAACCAUGGAGUGCCUUCGGGAGCGCGAACACAGGUGGUGCAUGGCUGUCGUCAGCUCGUGUCGCGAGAUGUUGGGUUAAGUCCCGCAACGAGCGCAACCCUCGUUUUUAGUUGCCAGCGGGUAAAGCCGGGCACUCUAGAGAGACUGCCGGUGACAAACCGGAGGAAGGUGGGGAUGACGUCAAGUCAGCAUGCCCCUUAUGUCCUGGGCUACACACGUACUACAAUGGUUAAGACAAAGGGCAGCCAAAUCGCAAGAUCGAGCGAAUCCCAUCAAACUUAGCCUCAGUUCAGAUUGCAGGCUGCAACUCGCCUGCAUGAAGGAGGAAUCGCUAGUAAUCGCAGGUCAGCAUACUGCGGUGAAUACGUUCCCGGGCCUUGUACACACCGCCCGUCACACCAUGGGAGCUGGCUACGCCCGA
rnacentral:rRNA from 1 species